rnacentral:misc_RNA from 1 species
AUGGGUAAUAUGUACCUCGUCGGAAGGAUUCUGACACGGAACAGGAAAACACCAAGGAUUUGGUCAUCUUCAGGAUGAAGAGACGACUACUCAGGAUGAAUGGUCGGCAUGGAAAGCGAAUUGGACAUUGAAUGGACGCAAUAGUAACUAGGAUGGUUGCUACUAAGGAAAGACAAUGGACACCUCUGGAUGAGGCAAGGACUGAACAUCAGGAUGAUGUAAAGGACACCGCUAGGAAGGCGACGUAAGGAAUAAGCUGACGGAAUACAGCACACUAUCAUGGAUUUGAUGCAUGGAGCACUUUUGUAGCUGGAUUGCUGCGAGUAAGACUAUAACCCCGCAGGGCUUUUGCCCUCGGGGUUUUUCUUUAUUGG